UUCAGAGGGGACAACAGUUGGAAACGACUGCUAAUACCGCAUACGAUCUAAUCUCGGCAUCGAGGAAAGAUGAAAGGUGGCCUCUACAUGUAAGCUAUCACUGAAGGAGGGGAUUGCGUCUGAUUAGCUAGUUGGAGGGGUAACGGCCCACCAAGGCGAUGAUCAGUAGCCGGUCUGAGAGGAUGAACGGCCACAUUGGGACUGAGACACGGUCCAGACUCCUACGGGAGGCAGCAUG
rnacentral:rRNA from 1 species